CAUUAGGGGUUCAGCGCGCCCCUCCAGGCCACGCAGUCAGGCCUCCGUCCUUUUAGCUGUAGGGGCAGAUUACGUAACUCCAGCCUUCUGGUCACUAAAGGAGGGUAACAAAGGGCGGUCGAGAGACUCCACUGAGUUGACACGCAGACGCAGCCUCAGGACCCUAAACUCUACGCCCCAACAUACCCUACCAAGUGAGCGCCAGCGGCCGCGUGACGUCAUCUACCCCAAAAGCUGUGGCCCCGGCCACGCACGGCUUCGGGGCGGGACUACGCGGUGACGUCGAGGUGCGCGGCGCAGCGCGCGGCGUCAGUCUUGGCUGGCAGACUUUGUACUCUGUAUUCCGUACGCGGAACUCGCAGCGGCGCGAUCUUCGGCAGCCUAGUCAUCCACCGCCAUCCUGGGCCCCACGUGUUGCCUGACCAUUCCUGAGCCCAGGUGGGAGCCGUGGCUGAGGUGACGGUCUCAAAGUGGAAGAGCUUACUGUCACAGCAACUCUUUUGCAAGAUGCCCCGGUAAAUCACGUUGCAGAGACCCCAACUCUGCCUUCCUGGAACUAGGCCUGCGUUUUCUCUGAACCAUUAUUUCAUGGGGAAAAUGAAAUCUACUUCAUGUGCCUGGCCUACUUACUCCUUCAGAAAUGAUUUCUGAGCCGUAAGAUACAUGAGAAAAAAAUGAAGGGGAAAAGGCAAUAUUUAUAUUAACUACACGAUGAUAAGGAUGUUUCUGGUCACAGUGAAAAGCCAUGCUAGAAUUGUAGUGUCAUAGAAUAAUGUGGAAGUUUAGUUCGUGUUGUCUGAUCUAUUUAAUAAUUUAAUAAGGUUAUCUCCUCCAAGACACCUUCCCUUCUUCCUCAGCCAGACAGGAUCUUCCCCUGAGAGUCAUCAGUAGCUCUGGGCUCCUGGAACCAAGCUCAGGUGCCUAAUUGAACUCUGGUCUCUUCCCACAGCCUCCAGCAGGGACUGGUGCUUAGUGAGAGUGGACUGCCAGAUUCCUUGAGUGUGGGGGAUUUGGGUGAAUGAGGGUAGCAAGCCUCCAGCGUGCUUGGGUCUGCGGUGACCCUAUGCAUUCCUU
rnacentral:lncRNA from 1 species